UCACCGUAUCAAGCAUGGCUUGCUGUUGGGCCCUGUGUCACCAGGUGACAGGUCCAAAAGACAAUGACCGGUGUCAUACAGACUCUACAUGCAACGAGCUUUUCACAGCACGCAUCUAGCAGUUGUCUGGCCCGGUUCUCACCCCCUUUAUUUCUCAA
rnacentral:misc_RNA from 1 species